GCGGAAGGAUCAUUGUU
rnacentral:rRNA from 1 species